rnacentral:rRNA from 1 species
AUGCCUAAAAUGAUUGUCCCUGAGGAUCUCGGGAUACCUCUUGACCUACUUGAUAUGAGUGUAUACAACCCUCCCUCUGUUCAUCGCCCCCUGGCUCCAGAAGAUCAAGAGCUGCUGCGUGAAGACGAGGUUCUCACCCCUGUUAAACCAGAAGGUAUAAGGAAAAAGGAGAGGCCAACCGACAAAGGCAUGUCUUGGCUGGUGAAAACACAGUACAUUUCUCCACUUACUACUGAUGCAGCCAAAAUGUCGAUCACUGAAAAGCAAGCAAAAGAAAGGCGAGAAUCAAGGGAGGGUCGUGAUAAUGUCCUCGAAAAUCUUAAUGAUAGACAGAAGCGGAUCAAAGCCAUUGCAGAAUCCUUCAAAGCAGCUAAAUCACGCCCUGUCCACCAGACUAAACGAGGGAUGGAGCCAGAGUUUGUUCUCCCUUUGGUACCCGAUUUUGAUAGGUAUAAUGAUCCAUUUGUUAUGGUGAAUUUUGAUGGAGAUCCUACAGCUGAUUCGGAGCAAUAUACCAAGCUAGAGAGACCUGUACGUGAUGAAUGCGAAUCCCAGGCUCUGAUGAAAAGUUUUCAAGUCAGUGGUUCAGACCCUGCAAAACAAGAGAGAUUUUUGGCAUACAUGGCUCCAGCACCCCACGAGCUUCUCAAGGACUUGGAUGAUGAAAAUGAAGACUUCCAGUACUCCUGGAUUCGGGAAUAUCACUGGGAAGUAAGGGGGGAUGACAAGCAAGAUCCAACGACUUACCUUGUCUCAUUUGAUGACGAUGAAGCAAAAUAUUUGUCUCUUCCUACCAAGCUAGUGUUGCAGAAGAAAAAAGCAAAAGAGGGUAGAUCUGGGGAUGAAAUCGAGCAUUUCCCAGUGCCUUCUAGAAUUACUGUGAGCAGGACAUCACAUGGUGAUGAGAUGGAGCAUGGAGAAUCAUCCAGCAUGCAUGGUAAUUUAAAGCGACGAAGAUCUUCUGUUGAUGAUGAUCUUGAUGAGCAUCCGAGGCGUUCUCGUGUAGAAGAUGCAGAGCAGUAUAGUGAAGACGAUUCUGAAUGA